AACGAACGCUGGCGGCAUGCCUAACACAUGCAAGUCGAACGAGACCUUCGGGUCUAGUGGCGCACGGGUGCGUAACGCGUGGGAAUCUGCCCUUGGGUUCGGAAUAACAGUUGGAAACGACUGCUAAUACCGGAUGAUGACUUCGGUCCAAAGAUUUAUCGCCCAGGGAUGAGCCCGCGUCGGAUUAGCUAGUUGGUGAG
rnacentral:rRNA from 1 species